AAUAUGUAGGAUGGAUGAUUGAUACAUGAGAUAAAGUUGUGUAAGACUAUUACUAGAAGAUCAUAUGGAGAUAAUAAAUUAUGCAAAGACAGCUCAAAGAAAUACGCUAAGGACAAUUUUAGUGGGGUGCAAAAAUGGAAUGGGGACAGCAGAUCCAAACCAGGAUAAAAAUGGGUGGGAAACGAAAUCCAGCAGUCUCUCCAACAAAUCACAUAACCGGGCACGAAUUGUUACAGACAGGUAAGGCAGAAAAAACACAGGAAAUAGUUCACAGACAGAAAAGAAAACAAAUUAUUCAUGAUUAUGAAAAGCCCUGCACUCCUUGUGCACCUCAUCUCUUUCUUUCAUACUAGAAUGAGAACUAAGUGCACUGUUCUUCCCUUGGCUAGGAAGUCCAGGUGUGUGGGCAGGGUCUGGCUGUUGGAGAGGUUGGGACCAGCAGACAUGCAGCAGAGCUUGUGGAGCAGCCUGGUUAGAGCUGCAGAGGUGUUGAGAUACAAUGCAGGAGAGACGGCUGCCUUCCUGAGUGAGGUGCACUCAGAGCAUGGGAAGCAGAGCACAGUUUGAAUUUAGCUUCAAGAACACUUCGGAAGAUUUUGUAACAAAAAAUUGGAGAGGUCGAUAAAAAAGUGAAGAUGCAACCAGAUAAACUGAUGUUAUUAUUAAAGGAUUCAGUGAGGUCAAGAUACUCAAUAAGCACCUACCGGGAACACCACUUCGGCAUUUUAGCAGAUGCUGUAAGAAAUGAAGACUCAGUUGGAUACUUUGCAACAGGAACAAGCAGUGGAAGGAGGACUCUCAGAUCAAUGAAAUCACCCUGUGGCUGUGGCCUUCUCUCUCUUUUGAAAAUAAAGGGAGAUUAGCUGCUGACUGCAGUGUUCUAAGUGCCUCCAGUGGUACGAACUGGCUCAGAAUCACCAUUCUAAAUGCAGCCUCAGAAAGCAUAGAGAAGGGAGAGCUGUCUUUCCUUUCCCACUGCUGUAUACAUAGUGUGUUACUGAUCUACACAAGUUUUCAGUCAAUGGAAUACGAUGUCUUUGGUUGUAAUAAUAAUUCUAUCCUGUCCUAACAAGGCUGCUACAUCUGAAUGUCUGGAAAUCCUGUAGAAAAGUCUCUGUGACGUGAUACAAUCUUAGGGAGUUUGAUGUAAAGGCUGUUGAAGGUGGUGGAGUGAAUCUGUUGAUUUCACUGGAUUUUAGAGGAUCAGAAACAGAUAGGAGAUUUUGACCAGAGAAUUAGCCUAACAGAUAACAUAAUUGUUUGCAACAGCAUAACAUUUCCCACGCUGUGUUUAAUUACCUUAAGAUGUCUAUGGAAAUAAAAGAAGUCCAUUUUUCCUUUCCCCUUUCCAAAUGCUGAAAACAUAUCAAUUACUCAUACACAUACAUGUACUUGCUGAUCUUUUACAGUAUAUCAUUUGAGAAAUUCAGGCAGCACUAGAUGCAUAUGGGUAUAGGACAGUUAUGAAACUGUGAAGUCCUAUGUUUUAAGCUGUGGAAACAACCCUCGUUUGUGAUGUUACGUUAUCUUUAAGCCCACAAGGAGGGUGUGGGGGCUUAUUAUUUCCAUUUUUUUCUAAGCUGAGUUGUUAGCCCUUGAAAAAUGGAAGUGCUGAUAUAAUUUGAAAUAGUAUUUCCUGAAGGGCCAUGUUGGAGCAAUAUUCUAUGAGCUUAAUAAGUCCCAUUGUGAGAGUCAUUUGUCAUUUUAACCCCAGAGGCAAAUUUGUAAAGGUUAGUGAAGGCUAUUUGUCAAAGUUAAAUAAUUCAGCUGCUUAAAAUGUUGUUUCUAAAAUAAGAAGCUUGAAAAUACUACUAGUUGUUGUUUUCAGAUUAUUUAGUUGCUUUUUUUUAAAAUGGCUCUGGAUAGGGCAGAUGGAAAAAAGUGUCUAAGCUGAAAUUGUUUACUCAUUUGCUUAAUUAUGAAGAAAUGGUUUUCUGUGUAAAUACAGAGAACAGAGCCAGCACAGCGAAAACCGCUCAGUUUAAGAAAAAUAGGAUGGUCGCUCUGUAUUAAAAAACCAAACAUCUCCAUAUGCCAAUCGCCAAUACUCAAAACAAUGAAGAAGUUUCAAAUAGGAUUUGUGUAAGAAGGAAACCGAAUGUAUUAUUAGUUAAAAUGAAUUGUGUAUUCUGCCAUUUGGUCUCCUGUAAACGCGAAUGAUGGUUUGCAAUUCCAAAAUGUCCUCCUCAAUAUGCAUUUCAGAUGGUUAUACUUGGAAGUUUCCAGUCUAGCAAAUUCUCCCUGCUUAAAAACUUGAAUAAACUAUAUAUCAUAGUUAUAUAAACUAUUUGGAAUGCUAAGAUAAAGGACUGAUACAUUCACUGCCUUUGCAGUAGCAAAAGGAUUUGUGGUUAUUGCUUUUGAACAUGUUUUUUAAAGCAUAACUGUAUGAAAAUGCUUAUUAUUGAAAAGCAUAUUCCACUUAACUGCAGCAUUGGCAAUCUGUAGGGAGUUGUGUAACAACCUUUCUUCUUUUAAGUUUGAGGAAUUUAGAGUUUUCUUUGUAUUUUUCAUCAAGUUUCUUUUUGUUAUUUACAGAGUUUAGGUAGCUGAGUUUGCAGUAAGCAUGCCGUAGGCUUACAGGGUUUGAUUUAAUUAAAAUACCCUUUAGUUAGGCAAUAGCCCUUCCACACAGCUUUAUAGCCAGUUACACCAAUUAGUAAAACAAAUACUGAAACAAAAAGGGGAGCGCUUGUUUUCCUAAACUUUUUAAUCAGGAAUCUCGUCCCAAAAGAUGGAUCAAAUUCUCUUUUUUAAUUUAUUCAACAUAAAUGAAUUAAAUUGAAACCUGAUUAGCUCACAGUUGGGAGAAUCUCUCUGCAAUGACUUGGAACACUUGCUAGGGAUUAUCCCUAAAUCCCAAGCCCCAUAUUCUUCCGCACUGCCUUUUCUAGUGGCAUCGUUUGUUCCCAGUAAGAAACCUUAGUGCCUUUCUUUUGGAGGACUGCUGAAAGAGUUAUGCAUCUUUCACCUGUGUUUUUAAGUGCUUAAACGUUAAUAUUAUACUCAAGAAUUAUCCAGUAAGAAUUUCCUGAGAAUCAGUCAAUCAGUGUCUAUAAAGCUCUUAGAGUUACAUGAAGGCAUUGUCCUGUUACUCUAAGCAGAAGGGAACUGCCAUGACUAUAAAGUAGUAGUUCCAUUAGUUUGAUGUCAAAACUAUGCCUGCUUCUUUUCUGUUAAAGACAAAAGCUCUUGUGAAAGUGCUUGCUCAUUAUCGAGAAAUAAUGGGAUAAUAUGGUGCAGUUAAGAAUAAGACUUUUCAUGCUUACAUCAACAAUAUGCUAAUGAUGAGCAUAACAUUAGCCUGUUGACAUAUUGAAUGCUUUAGAAUAAUUGUUAUGUCAAAUGUUUUUAGAAGUUCUACAAAUAAGUCAUAUUUUAAGUCCAGAUCAUAGCCAAAAGGUGGCAGUAUUCUAUUCAAUAUUCAUUUACAAAACAGUAAAAAAUGCAUGUGUUUAUUAAUGCUUUAUCUCCUUCUAAUAUUGAAUCAAACUAGAUGAUUUUCUCUUAAAAUAAAAUCAGUUUAUUAAAAGUAUUCAUUUAGAAUGAAAUCAUGAAUAAAAUUAGC
ensembl:lncRNA